UGGGGAAUAUUUCACAAUGGGCGAAAGCCUGAUGCCGCGACGCCGCGUGAGUGAAGAAGUAUUUCGGUAUGUAAAGCUCUAUCAUCCGGGAAGAAAAUGACGGUACCUUACUAAGAAGCCCCGGCUAACUCCGUGCCAGCAGCCGCGGUAAUACGUAGGGGGCAAGCGUUAUCCGGAUUUACUGGGUGUAAAGGGAGCGUAGACGGCGAAGCAAGUCUGAAGUGAAAACCCAGGGCUCAACCCUGGGACUGCUUUGGAAACUGUUUUGCUAGAGUGUCGGAGAGGUAAGUGGAAUUCCUAGUGUAGCGGUGAAAUGCGUAGAUAUUAGGAGGAACACCAGUGGCGAAGGCGGCUUACUGGACGAUAAAUGACGUUGAGGCUCGAAAGCGUGGGGAGCAAACAGG
rnacentral:rRNA from 1 species